UACGGAGGGUGCAAGCGUUAUCCGGAUUCACUGGGGUUAAAGGGUGCGUAGGUGGGCAGGUAAGUCCGUGGUGAAAUCUCCGAGCUUAACUCGGAAACUGCCGUUGAUACUAUUUGUCUUGAAUAUUGUGGAGGUAAGCGGAAUAUGUCAUGUAGCGGUGAAAUGCUUAGAUAUGACAUAGAACACCAAUUGCGAAGGCAGCUUACUACACAACGAUUGACGCUGAGGCACGAAAGCGUGGGGAUCAAACAGG
rnacentral:rRNA from 1 species